rnacentral:rRNA from 1 species
GAUGAACGCUAGCGAUAGGCCUAACACAUGCAAGUCGAGGGGCAUCACAUGAAGUAGCAAUACGGAUGGUGGCGACCGGCGCACGGGUGAGUAACACGUAUGCAACCUGCCUUCAACAAGGGGGAUAACCCGUUGAAAGACGGACUAAUACCCUAUAACACAGGGGUCCCGCAUGGGAAUAUUUGUUAAAGGACAACCGGUUGAAGAUGGGCAUGCGUUCCAUUAGCUAGUUGGCGGGGUAACGGCCCACCAAGGCAACGAUGGAUAGGGGGAACUGAGAGGUUUAUCCCCCACACUGGUACUGAGACACGGACCAGACUCCUACGGGAGGCAGCAGUGAGGAAUAUUGGUCAAUGGACGCAAGUCUGAACCAGCCACGUCGCGUGAAGGAAGACGGCCCUACGGGUUGUAAACUUCUUUUAUACGGGAAUAAAGUGCCCCACGCGUGGGGUUUUGCAUGUACCGUAUGAAUAAGGAUCGGCUAA